UGGGGAAUAUUGCACAAUGGGCGCAAGCCUGAUGCAGCCAUGCCGCGUGUAUGAAGAAGGCCUUCGGGUUGUAAAGUACUUUCAGCGGGGAGGAAGGGAGUAAAGUUAAUACCUUUGCUCAUUGACGUUACCCGCAGAAGAAGCACCGGCUAACUCCGUGCCAGCAGCCGCGGUAAUACGGAGGGUGCAAGCGUUAAUCGGAAUUACUGGGCGUAAAGCGCACGCAGGCGGUUUGUUAAGUCAGAUGUGAAAUCCCCGAGCUCAACCUGGGAACUGCAUCUGAGACUGGGAAGCUUGAGUCUCGGAGAGGGGGGUAGAAUUCCAGGUGGAGCGGUGAAAUGCGUAGAGAUCUGGAGGAGUACCGGUGGCGAAGGCGGCCCCCUGGAAGAAGACUGACGCUCAGGUGCGAAAGCGUGGGGAGCAAACAGG
rnacentral:rRNA from 1 species